AACUUGUUGUUUCUCAAUCUUAUUGGAAGUCACUCAUUAAAUGAAAAUAAGGGAUGGAAUAGUGUUUUAAAGUGGGAGUUUAGAAGGUGCAAUGUCUCAGAUGAUGAUACAGCAAAAUGUGGUGCCUUGGCCUGCUGAAUGCUUUGAGGAGGAGUUAAGAAGGUUUCUCCUUACUCCUGCUACCUCUCUCCCUCUGUGCAUGUUGUAGAAACCAGAGUUCCUUUCAGCCUAGGAAUGUCUUAGAAACUAGACUUUUUCUUGCCUUCUCUUCAAAGCAAGCCAUGAAGCCUGGAAAGGUCUGAUCCACUGUCCCUGAAAGCAAGUCACAAGCGCUUCCAUUUGGAAGAAUUACUGGGGAAUCAGGACAAAAAGACCUGCUGAAAAUGAUAACAAAAGAGACUGACGCUUUCUCAAAAGCUUGGAAAAAAAGGCAGUAUUGUACAUUUGUAGAGGUCUGUUGUUCUAUUAAAGAAAACAUCAAUUCAUUAAGAGUUUCUACAUUUGUAGUAUUAAAUUCUAUUCAGAAGUUAUUGUAUGACUAAAAUAAAAUAAUAUAAAGGUUUUGUGUUAUAAAAUAUUAAUAUGUGGUGUGCUUAUUUCUUUUCUAUGGGUAGCUAUACAUCUGAGUCAAGAAGCUAGUGUUGAAUUUUUGCACUAUUAAGGCAUUUUUCUGAAAAGCUAAAGUAAUACAUUCCGGGUCACUUUCUAAGAAUUUUUAUGACAUAAAAUAAAGCUUAAUAUGGUGUUUUCCCAGUUGAAGAUAUCAACUUGCUAUCUUGGAGAAACCAAAAUAAUUGAGACAAUUCCAUUGCAGUAGCUGAGAAAAUAUUAUGAGCUCUAAAUAUUUUGCUUUAUAUGUAUGUGCUUGUAUUUUACAUAGUAAUACAUAGAGUAAGAAAGUAAGAAAGUAAAAUAUAUGUCUUUAAGUCAUAGCCAAAAAAAUCUAUGCAUCAGAGAUUUUUUUUCUUAGAUUUUGUUCUUCACCAGACAAAAAAUUUAAUUAAGCUGAUUAGUUACGAUUUGGUAGAAUAACUAAGCAACAUUUGGUUACCUAUUCAUAAAUAUAAUAAAUAAGUAGGCCAAUACCUCAAGGUUCAUAAUCCUUGUGGGGCUCAGAAGUUGAAACAAAGAAAAAUUUUCUUAUCUUUUAAUUUUUUUGCAUUUGGAGUGCCUUAGAAAGAUGGUAUAAAUUUUUUGGAAAAACUGCUUAAAUAUUGAGUAUUAAAUUUCAGAUUGCUACAUAAAUAAAAUUAAAAUUGAAAUGAUCAGAUUUAUGAAUCAAUGAUUUAGGAACUUUAAAACCAUAACAGUAAUUCUAACCACAAGAAAAUGAGAGGCAUAGUUUUACUUAGAUUUAAUUUCUAUUGUAACCACUUCACAUUAAGUUUUCUCCUAGAAAAUUGUAAACAUUUCAAAGACAUCAUGUAUGCUUGCCAAUAUUUUGCUAUGAACUGAAGGACCCUAGUUAGCAAGACAGAUUCCCUAUUGCUGCUGAAGGACCCACCUGCCUGCCCUUUAGAUGAACUCAAAAGGAGGAAGCUUAGAAACCUCCUCCCCUUAGAGAGUCUCUUAGAAACAACAAUUAAUCAACUAUUGUUUAACAAAUGUUCUAAGGACAGGACGUUCUGCUUCUGUACCUUUUGCUUGCUUUGCUAGUUCUAUCCCAUGGGGGGGCCUAGAAACUGCUGGCCUUGAAGGCCUAUAAAAUAUGUUAAUCUCCCCCUAGUUGGUGCUUGGCUUAGUCCAGGCCGGUAAUAAACUCCUGUGUGGAUUUAAUAUUGGUCUCUGGUUGGUUCUCUCUCUCGCUGGGUCUAACAUGAACAACACAUCCUCUCUUUUAAACAAUAGUUUUUUUCCAUAGGAACACUUGUUUUUCUUUACAGAGAAAUAGACAUUACCAUAUUAUAAUCCUCAGGCUCAUGAUAUGGUUUGUUAUAUUACAAGGCAAAUGCACUUAUUUUAUGGUUGAGUGUGAGCCCAUUAAUUAAAAUUGUAUUAUAAAUCCCCCAAUUCCUGCCAGAAGAAAACAGAGCAUCUGUCUUACUCAGAAACAGGAAAUCUGUCUGAAAUAUGUGCUGCUGCCUAGCUUAUUGUGUAGGGCAAAACACAUUUCUCCCCUCGUGACCUCACUUUAAGCAAUUUGAAUUAGAAAAAAAGUCAGUAUUUAAUUCUGACUUGAACUUACUCCUCCACACUCUAACAGACUCUUUAUGAUAGUAAUUACUUUUGGAUGUUGAGAUGAGGUGUUUACCCACCAAAAUUAUUUAAAUGAAAUAAAUUACAACAUUGCAGAGGGCUCUUGGCAAAGCUAUUACUCAAAUAGAAAGAAAGCAUUUGGAAUCUUAUAGAAAUUUAAGAAGUGUGAUUUUCUAUGUAAAGCUUAUUGUAAGAAAUGCAUCACAUAUUAUUGAGAAACAAAAAGUUUUAAUUUCCCAAUAAGGAGAGAAAAUCUAUAGUGUGUGAUGUUCUAAGAUUGGAAUAUGUUAAAUGCUACAGACAUAGCUUAAAAGGACCAAAGCAGAGUUAAGAUAGUGCUUCCUAAAUUCUGGUUACACCGUGGAAACUCAUGGAGAGACAGAAUACAAUGCUGAUCUCUGUGCUUCACACACAGGUCAGCUCUACUUUCUGGAAUAGGAUUGGUGUUUUCCUUUCCAAUUCUCUCCAGGAGCAGCCUGAGUGGGUGGAGACAGAGCUCUCCAGACCUCAGAGACCAGUGCCUGUGUAAGGUCCGCUGGCAACUGCACCACAAAACAAGAAAAAGAAUGAUGGUAGAGCAACUUUUUCAAUAAAACUGAUUUUAUUCAUAUUAUGGUGUUAAUAUUCUUUCUUUUAGAUGAUGUUGGUAAUAGCAGAUAACGUUUAUUUGUUGCUCUGUUUUAUUACCUGUUUGCUUGCUCAUUUUGCCC
ensembl:lncRNA